GCUGAAGAGAGGAGCUUGCUCCUUCUUGGAUGAGUUGCGAACGGGUGAGUAACGCGUAGGUAACCUGCCUGGUAGCGGGGGAUAACUAUUGGAAACGAUAGCUAAUACCGCAUAAAAUGGAUUAUCGCAUGAUAAUGCAUUGAAAGGUGCAAAUGCAUCACUACCAGAUGGACCUGCGUUGUAUUAGCUAGUUGGUGGGGUAACGGCUCACCAAGGCGACGAUACAUAGCCGACCUGAGAGGGUGAUCGGCCACACUGGGACUGAGACACGGCCCAGACUCCUACGGGAGGCAGCAGUAGGGAAUCUUCGGCAAUGGACGGAAGUCUGACCGAGCAACGCCGCGUGAGUGAAGAAGGUUUUCGGAUCGUAAAGCUCUGUUGUAAGAGAAGAACGAGUGUGAGAGUGGAAAGUUCACACUGUGACGGUAUCUUACCAGAAAGGGACGGCUAACUACGUGCCAGCAGCCGCGGUAAUACGUAGGUCCCGAGCGUUGUCCGGAUUUAUUGGGCGUAAAGCGAGCGCAGGCGGUUAGAUAAGUCUGAAGUUAAAGGCUGUGGCUUAACCAUAGUACGCUUUGGAAACUGUUUAACUUGAGUGCAAGAGGGGAGAGUGGAAUUCCAUGUGUAGCGGUGAAAUGCGUAGAUAUAUGGAGGACACCGGUGGCGAAGCGGCUCUCUGGC
rnacentral:rRNA from 1 species